CGCGCAGCUCGUCCGGCCCGCCCGCAGGCCAGCUUCUCUCGGGAGCCUCCACCCAGGCGCAUGGCUCCAUGAAGCAAGAGGAGGAGGCAGAGCGCGAGAGAUCCCGUCCGCCCCAGCCGCGUCUGGGCCAGGAGAAAAGCAAAACCAUAUUCCUGCUGCUGUCAGUUUUGAUGCACUGAGAAAACUUCAGAGACCUAAGCUUUUUCCAGAGAAGAGAAGCUUUACUGGUGUUCCAGCCCUAAGAAACUUAAAUCCUCAGUGUGACACAACUCAGUCCUUCUACUGCAGCAGCUCUUUUAUAAAAGCCUCCCAAAGCUCCAAGAAGGAACAAAGAAUGUGACCCAGUAAGCUCACACCAUAAGUCUAUAUUGCAGAAACCUUUGUUCAACAAAACUGCAGAUGCUCUGUUGAAUCCACUGGAGAUUGUCCUGAUACUAAGGACAAGUAUGCUCAUAUGACAUUAACAGACAAGACACUUUUCAGAAAGACAGGUUGUUCUUUUGGGCCACAUCUAAGAAAUCUUUGUCUAGCCAAAAGCCACAAAUAAUUUCUCAUUUUUUGGCUUCUGGAAGAUGUACAGUUAAAUGUUAUAUUUGGGACUGUUAUCUAAUUUGAUUAAAUUGCACUCUACAAUAUGAUAUUUGAAUUGAUGAAAAAUUAGUAAAUGUUAAUAUUUUUUAAAGUAGCCAAAUCUUGCAAUUUAUAUAUAAUAGAGAAGACUAGAAAAUCCCCCAUAUUUAUUUCCUCUUACUUCGUACUACUAAAAUUUGUAUUUAGGCAUUUGGUUUCUCAGAUAAACAUUACAUUCCCCAGUAUAUGGUUCUAUCUGGCUUGGUGACGACAUGUUGAACAUUAAGAUGUGAGCAGAAGUAAUACAUACACACUCUUUUUAAUGUCUUUAAUUGAAUGGGAUAUUGGCCCAUUUUUUCUUCCAGUUUAUUACACUGAAUAUUGACAUGUUAUUUUCCAAUAUUGAGACAAUCAAUGACAAGACUUUAAGAGUAACAAUGUAAAAAUUAUAGAAGUUGUCUGAGUUUAUCAACAAUCCCCUGGAUUAGAACCCCCUACCAGUUCUAGGUCAUCUAAUAUAUAGACAUUGUGUUCAGUAGAAAUAAAUAUAUAUAUUUUUUAAUAUACUUUAAGUUCUAGGAUACAUGUGCACAACAUGCAGGUUUGUUACAUUGGUAUACACAUGCCAUGUUGGUUUGCUGCACCCAUUAACUCAUCAUUUACAUUAGUUAUUUCUCCUAAUGCUAUCCCUCCCCCUGCCCCCCACCCCCCGACAGGCCCUGGGGUGUGAUGUUCCCCACCCUGUGUCCAAGUGUUCUCAUUGCUCAAUUCCCACCUAUGGGAAUACAUUUUUAAAUCAUUUUUAAAGGUGUUAUUACAUUCUGAUUGAACAUUUUCAGAAAGAAUAAAUAAUUUAAUACAAGAAGUGGGCCACUUCAUGUAACAAAACAAACCACCACUACAGCAACAACAACAAAAAACACUAAUGAAUGUGACUUUAGCUUUGCAACAUCAUGACAGACUAGCAAGUUAAUGACAUUUGUUAUGCCAUAGAAAAUAUUUGUUGAAUUGCCACUCUAAUGACUUUAUAUCAGCCAACUCAUUAUCAACACUAGAAAAGAUGAUUAAAAAAUACUUCAGUACGUUCAUGUGUUGGCUUGUUAACAUUUUUAAGAGUCUAUAAGAGAAAAAUGCAUCCAAUCUCGGCAAAAAUAUUUUUCAAGUAUCUUGUAGGUACGUACAACUAACUACCUUGUGAACAAAAGUCACUAUAUAAUUAUAUAAUUUCUGACACUUAAAAAAGUUUAUUGUGCAAAAGAAGAUAUAUGUUCUAAUACCAAAUCCACAUAUAAAAUAAUUGACUUAUUUAAAUAAUUUAAGAUGCUCUUUUAUAUAUUUAUAUUAAAAACUUUACAGAGAAUAAAAAAGGCAUUAUACAGGCUGCUUAUGGUUUUUGAUGUUUGGAUAUACAAUACAUGUAUCAAAGAUUGUGGAAAUAAAUCAAGCAAUAUAUUCAAUUGGACUUAAUUGCAUUAUUACAUGCCAAGUGUCGUAUACCAUCUAUUUGCACAUAACACUUUUUAAUUUAGGUAAAAUUAUUAAUCAUAAAGCUAUAUGAAUUUAUUUUAUUCCAUGUUAUUUUAUUAUUCCAUGUUAUUAUUUAUGUAUUGUUAGGAACAUUUGCUUAAAAAUCAUAUUUGGACAUAGUAUCAGAUACUUUACAUCCUUCGAAUCAGUUAUUUUAUAACAGUAUAUACUAAACAUCAUUACUCCUUUUCAAACAUAAAUAACGCAAUACAAAUUGGACAAAAAAUUCAGGAAAGAUCUGGGAUCAAAAAGGAGGUAUUGAAACAUCACAUGUACUCCAUAAUUAUAUACAAAUAUUUUGUACCCAUAAUAUUUAAAAUACAGAAAAUUAAAAGGUACAUUUUCCUCAAAGUGCAUGCUUCUUUUGCUAUGCAAAACUGCAGGAUAUGGAAAGAAGUGUAUUAAAACACUAAAUCACUUUAUGUGGAAGAUAAAAGGGAUGGUACCCAAUGUACAACUUCAUGUAGUGCACUGAUAUAUUCAAUAUAAAUGAUGUAUUAACUUCAAGAUAACAUGAGAAAGUUAAAUUAUCUAACUUAUUUCAAACUAGGGGAUAGUAUGUUCUCAUUAUUAGAAGCCAGAAUUCUGCUUAUCCAUUUCUAUUAUUAGAAAAAAACAUAAUUUUUAUUCUUGUCUUAGAAAUAGACACCUUGAUAUAAUUCUCUGUAAAUGUAGCAUGAUAGUCUGUUUACAGAGUUUAUAUCAUUCCAAGACUGCACUUCUAAAGUGAGAAAAUAUUAAAGGAUAUAAACUCACUCCUCUCUACAAAAUUCCUUAUUUUUUAUGCAAUGGCUUUAAAAUGUAUGGAAGGGGAGUUAUGGAAACAAUCCAUACCUGGAAAGCAUUCUAUCCAUGCCUUUGAAAUGGUUAUCUAGUACUAGAUUCUUAUCGGUGCCUAGCUAUGUAAUGUGUGUAGCUUAAGAUUUUUAAGAAAGAAGGAUAAAAUGCUCAAUAUAAAUUUAAAAAGCACUUUUAUUGGAAUAUUGAGUCAUGUAUUUGCUUUCUGUAAGUCCUUUUAUCUAUAAAAUAAUAGUUGAGAAAGGCAAAUAGAAUAUGUGGAGGAAUUAAAAAUUCAGUUGUAGGGUGGUAAAUGAAAACCAAAUUUUUCAUUCACCACAUUAAAUGUAAAUGGGUAUUAUACUCAAUUUAAG
rnacentral:lncRNA from 1 species